rnacentral:lncRNA from 1 species
GAAGCUAGUAUCAUCACAAUUUUAAAAUGAAUAAUUUAGGAGGAAUUGAUUUAAGUCUUGGCGUCGAGGAUUGUGUGUGUAUGUGAAAGAGAGAGGGAGAGAAUUGCUUGGCCGCCAAAAGAAGCCAUUACUUGCAAACUAGCUAGCUUCACUACUCACCCUAAGCAAAGCAUAUAUACUUUUUUAAAAAAUUCAUCAACAUAAUAACAAAACCUUUUUUGCAAGGAUCACCUAGACAAAGAGUAUUAGAAAUGACAUAUUGUUUGUAAUAAUUAUUUACUAGCUGCUCAAUAUAUGUUUAUGUAUACAUCGUGAUCCAAAUAGGUAUAUUU